GUUAUUCGCGGAAUUAUCAACUUUACUUGAGUUGUACUUCGACACGACACAGCGUGGAUGAACACAAUGUUUGAGGAGAGUGUGCGGCUGUCAGUCACCGUGCCGGUGUGGAUACUGGCAUUCAGAAUCACAGAUUAUUCUUUUUGGAAGUAUGACCAACAUAAUAAUUUUCACUGGAAAAUGUCAUCUGAACAAGUAAGCAAGCAGAUAGUUUUGAACACUGGCUGGUUAUGUAUUUUCUCAAAUAUGUAUUUUGGAUAAUUUUUAACCCCAAAAAAAGCUACGGACUGCAGCUUUAAAUACA